CUCAAUUUUGGAAUGGCUAUAAAUAAAGCUCAGGGUCAAACUAUACCAAAUGUUGGGAUCUAUCUUCCAGAGCCUGUUUUCUCUCAUGGACAGCUAUAUGUUGCCUUAUCAAGAGGUGUUUCACGUUCAACUACAUGGAUGCUAGCUAAACCUAACAAAGAUCUUGAUCCCACCGGCAGAAAAACCAAAAAUAUUGUUUUCAGAGAUAUUCUACGGUCUUCAAAAUGAAGUGACACCGGAGUCCAUCAUAAAUGGGAUAUGAGUUGGAAAUUAAAUUCUGGCGACAUGGUGUGAAAAUUUUGCAUCAUUAAAUUUUUAUAAUAUGUAUGUUAGAUGUGGCAUUCAUAUGUGGAUUUUUUG